rnacentral:rRNA from 1 species
AUUGAACGCUGGCGGCAGGCCUAACACAUGCAAGUCGAGCGGAUGAAGGGAGCUUGCUCCUGGAUUCAGCGGCGGACGGGUGAGUAAUGCCUAGGAAUCUGCCUGGUAGUGGGGGAUAACGUCCGGAAACGGGCGCCAAUACCGCAUACGUCCUGAGGGAGAAAGUGGGGGAUCUUCGGACCUCACGCUAUCAGAUGAGCCUAGGUCGGAUUAGCUAGUUGGUGGGGUAAAGGCCUACCAAGGCGACGAUCCGUAACUGGUCUGAGAGGAUGAUCAGUCACACUGGAACUGAGACACGGUCCAGACUCCUACGGGAGGCAGCAGUGGGGAUUAUUGGACAAUGGGCGAAAGCCUGAUCCAGCCAUGCCGCGUGUGUGAAGAAGGUCUUCGGAUUGUAAAGCACUUUAAGUUGGGAGGAAGGGCAGUAAGUUAAUACCUUGCUGUUUUGACGUUACCAACAGAAUAAGCACCGGCUAACUUCGUG